GCAACAGGCCGGUCUGUCGUGUCGUGUUCUAGCCGGAACAGCUGAUAUUUCUAUAUCGCUCGGUAGAAUGAAAAAGAGUUCCAGUUGUUGAUAAAAUGUAACAGUGUGUGAGUGUGGUUUAGUUCCGGGAGAUAUUAUUGUCUUCUGCGAAAAAAGGGUUUGUAUACGGUGGAAUGAUGCCCGGACAAAACAAGGAAUUGUCUACGAUCUAUGGUUCCCAAGUUGGCAAGACUGAGAGCUUUGAGGUUAUGGCUGACAUGAGAAAUGGCAAUGUUAGCAUGGGGAGUAGCGGCAGCUUACCGGUCUACCGAGAGCAUUACUGCAUCUGCACGCCGAAAACGCAGCUCGAGAAGACGCUUAUCAUCGUAGUCGUGGUGCUGGCUCUGAUAACCGUCGUCCUCAUCAUCGUGAUCUCCGUUCUGGCAGGAGACAAGGAAAAAGCUCGAAGUCUCAGGGAAGUCGUUCAGGCACUUUCGCCAAAAAUAUGAUAUUUUCUCUGCCUUGUCUCCAAGAUGAAGAAUGAACAGUCUCUUUCUCACACCAAGCUCUACAGCAAAACAGACGCGAAGAACACGCCACUUUCAGAUUUAUACUUCCAUGAGUGACGCAUUUAGAAUAUGAAAUAUUCGAAUGUGACACGAAAAGUGAUGGAUGAUGGUCCACCGAUUUAGACAUUUCAGUGCUCAAGAAUCUGGUGUAUUCAUCGUCCGUGGUUUUCAUAAUAACUCAUUUCAAGGUUAGGGUAUAAACUUAGUCCAAACACAUCGUAAUUUUUUUUUUUUUGGACAAAUUAGUUUCAGUGUAAUUUACGGAAGGGGCUUUCGAUAACCAAAAACUUAAAUGACUCCUCAGUCACGAAAAUACUUGCUAAGAUUUCAUGUUCUUACGAUGAACAUCGUCUUCUGGAGUCUUGCGUCUUGUAGUCUGGUACACGUUUACCAACGUUCCAGAAGUAAAUUCCCACCAGACUACAAGCUGCAAUGACCCACAGGCAUCUUCACGAGUUCUUCUAUUUUGGGGGGGGGCAUUUUUUACAAAUGUCACGUUUCUGAUGGAGCAGACAGCUCUCAAAUUGUCCACCAAUUACGCAGACUGACGUCAGUAGCUGGUCUACAGCUUACGUAACGAAAAACGUUAAUUAAAUUAAAAUUGAUUCAAGUUAAUAAGAACGACACAGAAAUUCAUAAAACAGACUUUAAAUAAAAUUUAAAUCAUACUCUGCUAGUUCCUGAGACUUAUCUUAGGUUCCAUUACAUUAGCACAGAACCUACAUUAUGAUACCGAACACUCCUGCUUCGUAUUAGGAAGAUCCGGGGUUCAAAUCUCGGUCCACUGGCCGACUAUCCUGACCGGGUUUUCCUCAGUUCUGGGAUAGGUUACGGCCGCUUCCUUCCACAUCCUUUCCAAUUCACGAUCUUCCGCUCAUUUUACGCUAUAUAGUCUGAAGUAAUUAAAAAGCGUCGUUAAAUAAAUUACGAUAAGGCCU